GUAGGUGGCAAGCGUUGUCCGGAAUUAUUGGGCGUAAAGCGCGCGCAGGCGGUUCUUUAAGUCUGAUGUGAAAGCCCACGGCUCAACCGUGGAGGGUCAUUGGAAACUGGAGAACUUGAGUACAGAAGAGGAAAGCGGAAUUCCACGUGUAGCGGUGAAAUGCAUAGAGAUGUGGAGGAACACCAGUGGCGAAGGCGGCUUUCUGGUCUGUAACUGACGCUGAGGCGCGAAAGCGUGGGGGAGCAAACAGGAUUAGAUACCCUGGUAGUCCACGCCGUGAACGAUGAGUGCUAAGUGUUAGGGGGUUUCCGCCCCCCCCUUAGUGCUGCAGCUAACGCAUUAAGCACUCCGCCUGGGAGUACGGCCGCAAGGCUG
rnacentral:rRNA from 1 species